GUGCCAGCAGCCGCGGUAAUUCCAGCUCCAAUAGCGUAUAUUAAAGUUGUUGUGGUUAAAAAGCUCGUAGUUGAACCUUGGGCCUGGCUGGCCGGUCCGCCUCACCGCGUGCACUGGUCCGGCCGGGCCUUUCCCUCUGUGGAACCCCAUACCCUUCACUGGGCGUGGCGGGGAAACAGGACAUUUACUUUGAAAAAAUUAGAGUGCUCCAGGCAGGCCUAUGCUCGAAUACAUUAGCAUGGAAUAAUAAAAUAGGACGCGCGGUUCUAUUUUGUUGGUUUAUAGGACCGCCGUAAUGAUUAAUAGGGACAGUCGGGGGCAUCAGUAUUCAACUGUCAGAGGUGAAAUUCUUGGAUCAGUUGAAGACUAACUACUGCGAAAGCAUUUGCCAAGGAUGUUUUCAUUAAUCAGGAACGAAAGUUAGGGGAUCGAAGACGAUCAGAUACCGUCGUAGUCUUAACCAUAAACUAUGCCGACUAGGGAUCGGACGGUGUUAUUCAUGACCCGUUCGGCACCUUACGAGAAAUCAAAGUGCUUGGGCUCCAGGGGGAGUAUGGUCGCAAGGCUGAAACUUAAAGAAAUUGACGGAAGGGCACCACCAGGGGUGGAGCCUGCGGCUUAAUUUGACUCAACACGGGGAAACUCACCAGGUCCAGACACAAUAAGGAUUGACAGAUUGAGAGCUCUUUCUUGAUUUUGUGGGUGGUGAUGCAUGACCGUUCUUAGUUGGUGGGGUGACUUGUCUGCUUAAUUGCGAUAACGAACGAGACCUUAACCUGCUAAAUAGCCCGCAUGCUCCGGCAGUGCGCUGGCUCUAGAGGGACUUCGCUCAGCGAAGGAAGUUGAGGCAAUAAACAGGUCUGUGAUGUC
rnacentral:rRNA from 1 species